rnacentral:rRNA from 1 species
AGCGUAGACGGUUUGGUAAGUCUGAUGUGAAAGGCAUGGGCUCAACCUGUGGACUGCAUUGGAAACUGUCAGACUUGAGUGCCGGAGAGGCAAGCGGAAUCCCUAGUGUAGCGGUGAAAUGCGUAGAUAUUAGGAGGAACACCAGUGGCGAAGGCGGCUUACUGGACGGUAACUGACGUUGAGGCUCGAAAGCGUGGGAGCAAACA